rnacentral:rRNA from 1 species
GACAGAGGGCGCAAGCGUUGCUCGGAAUCACUGGGCGUAAAGCGCACGUAGGCGGCUUUCUAAGUCAGGGGUGAAAUCCUGGAGCUCAACUCCAGAACUGCCUUUGAUACUGGAGAGCUUGAGUCCGGGAGAGGUGAGUGGAACUGCGAGUGUAGAGGUGAAAUUCGUAGAUAUUCGCAAGAACACCAGUGGCGAAGGCGGCUCACUGGCCCGGUACUGACGCUGAGGUGCGAAAGCGUGGGGAGCAAACAGG